rnacentral:tRNA from 1 species
GCCGGCUUAGCUCAGCGGUAGAGCAGCUGUAUCGUAAACAGCGGGUCACUGGUUCAAUUCCAGUAGUCGGCU